GUAGGUGGCAAGCGUUGUCCGGAAUUAUUGGGCGUAAAGCGCGCGCAGGCGGUCCUUUAAGUCUGAUGUGAAAGCCCACGGCUCAACCGUGGAGGGUCAUUGGAAACUGGGGGUACUUGAGUACAGAAGAGGAAAGCGGAAUUCCAAGUGUAGCGGUGAAAUGCGUAGAGAUUUGGAGGAACACCAGUGGCGAAGGCGGCUUUCUGGUCUGUAACUGACGCUGAGGCGCGAAAGCGUGGGGAGCAAACAGGGAUUAGAUACCCUGGUAGUCCACGCCGUAAACGAUGAGUGCUAAGUGUUAGGGGGGUUUCCGCCCCCGUUAGUGCUGCAGCUAACGCAUUAAGCACUCCGCCUGGGGAUACGGCCGCAAGGCUG
rnacentral:rRNA from 1 species